GGCUUCCGCGCACGCAGCCUGGCGCGGCGACACGCGCACACCCGCGGCCGAAUCGGGGGAGGGAGCGGAGCCCGCCGAGCGCCAGAUCCCCGCGCCCUGCGAGUCGCCAGGGCAGUAAGGGGCACGCGCGGCGGGACGCUGAAGAAUGGGACAGCGCUGCGCCUGGGCUCUCUGUGACAGAGAUAUUGUCUUUCCCUUCCUGGAAAUAGGAGUUAUUGCAGUGUUCUGUCUGGGUCUUUCCGUGUCAUCCGCCCCACGAUCGUCUUGACAACUCUGUAGCUAACAAGGUGUUGCUCUUUAUGAUGGCUGCUAUCCCGUGAAAGCUACCAAUGGGUAACUGAGGAGAAGAGAAGCAAUUCAUGCCGAGCAGGACUGGAUGAGAAACUGGAUCAAGAUUGACUCAGCUGCAGUUCUGGGUCCAGAAAACACCAAAAUUGUAGUCUUAAUGUGGAAGCACAUUGAUUGUGAUAAUCAUCCAGAUAAUAAGGCACAGAAGACAAGAAAAAAUUUUUUUUCCUAAGCAUACUUGUGAUAACUCUUGCUUAGUAAUGUGUGUGUGUGUGUGAAAAGACAGAGAAAAGGGAAGAGAGACAGGAAGAGAGAGGGGGAGGUAAUUACCAUGUUUGAUUAAUUUAGUUUAUCUGAGCACAAUAUUUUUUUUUAAUUUACCAAAUUAGUGAGUUAAUCUUUUAAUAUUAUCUAUGCCCAAAAAACUGGGCUUUGAAUUUCCUAUUGUAUAUGGUCCUAGCACCUACAUGGUAAUACAUAUUUCAUUCAAACAGACAGUUGUUGACACACUGAAAAGCAUCAUCUAAAUUAUCCCUAAGAACAGUAUCUUGAUAAAAUUUGAAAGUAACCUAAACAUAUGUAUAGGUAUAAAUAUAGCAAUAGCAAGAAUAAAACUGAAAAGAGAACAUAUUUGUACUACUUGAAUAUAUAAUAAGCAAACAACACUAAUAAGAGUCUGAGCCACAUUAAACCAGUACUCUGGGAAGCUGGAAACUGGUUUUACCAUCUGUCAGCUUCUAUACUGGCAGCAUCACAAAUGAGACCUCUUUUGAACAAAACAUCACAGCAGGAGCCACAGACAUGUGAAUUGUAAUUAACACGUGAAAAUGUAUUUCAUAGCUUUUGUCAUUUAUAGAAAACAUAUUGUGAAUUUUUGAUUUAUAAAAUUAUAUCAAAUGUAAGCCAUUUUAAUUUUCCAAACUUAUACACUAUUUCAUCAAAACUUUGGCCUUUACCAACAGUGAGUUUUCCUUAGGUCUGGUUCACUCUUUAAUGAGGAUCAAUUAUUUCCUAAUCAUUCAGGUACAGAAGAUGAACAAAAAUAUAAAUCUGCUGAGGACAAAUAGUAUUGUUUUACAUUUAUUUAAUAGUAUUUUCUACAAUAAAAACCAUUUUCUAUAAUAAAAGGGUAUAUUCCUGGCCGGGCGGUGGUGGCGCACUCCUUUUAUCCCAGCACUUGGGAGGCAGAGGCAAGCAGAUUUCUGAACCCUGAGAAAUAUAAAGUCAAAUCAAAUCCUCAAACCUAAUAAAAUUUUUUCCUCCCUUUCAUACCUAAGAGAACAAAAAUAUUCUAGUUUCUUAGCUCUUUCAUAUCUGAAAACCCAAAUGCACAGCUCAUGAGAUGUAACUGUUGUGUUACACACAUUAAACAAAUGUUCAAAAAUAGCAAUAAGAUGAGUGUUCCAAAUUGCUGACCAAAAUAUGAACCAAUAUUAAAAUACAAUGUUUAUAUUCAAAAUAUUUAAUCUCCAUUCAAAAUGUCUGAGUGUUUCUAGAAAUUCAGGUUAAUUUUAAAGUCAACAUUCUUGGCAUUUGUUAUUUUGGAGUUUAUCAGGUGGAUUUAUGUUUUACAUUCAAACACACUGAUACUCCUUUAAACAUCUUGAUACCUCUAACCUGCCAUUGGGUGCAACGAUGUCUUCAUUCUCAUACAUUGCUUCCAACUUUCCCUUUAAGUACUAACAUUAAUAAAACAAGAUUGGAGCUGGAAAAAUAAUUCAGCUGUUAGGAGAGUGCAUGCUGUUCUUACAGAAAACCAGAAUUGGGUUAUCGGCAACUGUAUCAGGCAGCUCAAAACUGCUAAUACAUAACCCAGUUCCCUGGGAUUGAGUGCCUUCUGGCCUCUGUGAGUGCCUACACACAGAUGUACACACCCAUGCACACAUACCCUGACAUACACAAAAUUAAAUAAAAAUAAAAACUUAGGAUAGGAGUUUGUCACUAAAUUGCAUGAUUCAUAUACACCUGCCACGCAUCCCUCCUAUCAGGUAUUUCUGACAAGGUCGGGGGGAAAACUAAGUGCUAGGAUUUAGGUCUCCUCCACUUGACUUUAGUGGACUUAUGUAAAGACCUCACCAUUGGUGAAAAUGGUGUGUGAUUUCCUAGCUCUGUCAUUGCCAUCCACUUUUUAUUGUGCUCCUGGGACACAUGCUCUUGUGCUGCAAACUACCUACUGUGACAAAGGAGAAGAAGGCCGUGUGUCCCCAAUGUUCGGCACCAUCUGACUGGUGCCAUAUGUGCCAAUAUACCAGCCAUCUAUAAGAGGGAGCCUUGGUGUCCUAUCCCUGCCCUCCAGUAAGCCACAUGAAACAGAAAUAAGACUCGUCAGAUUCCUACUCUGUGUAGCAAACUCCCACAAAUGCACGGAUAUUCUAAAGUGAUGCCAGCCGGUUGGAACAUAGUUCCCAAAAGUUGGAAAACUCUGUGCACCAUCACACACCUGAAAGCAAAGUUUACUUCACAUACUGAGUCCCUGAGAUACACAGCCACGUCUGUCCAAAUUCAUUCUCCCUGGCGGAAUCCUGCUCUUGUAUUUCAGAGACUGAGACCUUUGUUUCCUGAGUAUGAGGCGCUUCAGCUGGCAAGAGAAGCUUCAAAUCUCUGCAAUUUACAUCCUUAACGUCCUCUUAUUCCACCAACUUGAGAAAACUCUGCCUUUAAAGGAGUCCUGGGAUUGUGUUAGAAGGAUUGAGAAAAUCUUAUCUGUGCUUGACUGUGCGUAUAAUAUUACUAAUCACCUGAGCAAAAUCAUUAUAUGCACAGGCUCUAUCUAUAUUUAAAGUGAGGAUGAACAUGCAAAACUGAGGGUUCUUAGGGGUUAGCACACAAUUCUGCCAGUCUCCUUCAGCACUGGAUUAGAAACCAAAGAUGGGGUCAUGAAAGAUUUGCUCAUCAUUAUAUCUCUGAAGCACUGUAUUCAGGACAAGGAGUGAUUUUAUCACGUAAAUUCGGUCUUUUAUUCACAAUCUGUGAUAAUAGCAGUGUAUUAUUACUCAAUUUUUGUCUUAAAGACUUUAUUUUCCUUU
ensembl:bidirectional_promoter_lncRNA A730020E08Rik RIKEN cDNA A730020E08 gene